rnacentral:rRNA from 1 species
CCUACGGGACGCAGCAGUGAGGAAUAUUGGUCAAUGGCCGAGAGGCUGAACCAGCCAAGUCGCGUGAGGGAUGACGGCCCUACGGGUUGUAAACCUCUUUUGUCGGGGAGCAAGACCCGCCACGAGUGGCGGAGCGAGAGUACCCGAAGAAAAAGCAUCGGCUAACUCCGUGCCAGCCGCCGCGGGAAUACGGAGGAUGCGAGCGUUAUCCGGAUUUAUUGGGUUUAAAGGGUGCGCCGGCGGCGAGUUAA